GGGAUCAGUGGCGAACGGGUGAGUAACACGUGAGCAACCUGCCCCUGACUCUGGGAUAAGCGCUGGAAACGGCGUCUAAUACUGGAUAUGUGACGUGACCGCAUGGUCUGCGUUUCGCGCAAAGGAUUUUUCCGUUGGGGAUGGGACUCGCCGCCUAUUCAGCUUGUUGGUGAGGUAAUGGCUCAACCAAGGCGUCGACGGGUAGCCGACCUGAGAGGGGUGACCGGCCACACUGGGACUGAGACACGACCCAGACUCCUACGGGAGGCAGCAGUGGGGAAUAUUGCACAAUGGGCGGAAGCCUGAUGCAGCAACGCCGCGUGAGGGAUGACGGCCUUCGGGUUGUAAACCUCCUUUAGCAGGGAAGAAGCGAAAGUGACGGUACCUGCAGAAAAAGCGCCGGGCUAACUACGUGCCAGCAGCCGCGGUAAUACGUAGGGCGCAAGCGUUAUCCGGGAAUUAUUGGGCGUAAAGAGCUCGUAGGCGGUUUGUCGCGUCUGCUGUGAAAUCCCGAGGCUCAACCUCGGGCCUGCAGUGGGUACGGGCAGACUAGAGUGCGGUAGGGGAGAUUGGAAUUCCUGGUGUAGCGGUGGAAUGCGCAGAUAUCAGGAGGAACACCGAUGGCGAAGGCAGAUCUCUGGGCCGUAACUGACGCUGAGGAGCGAAAGGGUGGGGAGCAAACAGGCUUAGAUACCCUGGUAGUCCACCCCGUAAACGUUGGGAACUAGUUGUGGGGUCCAUUCCACGGAUUCCGUGACGCAGCUAACGCAUUAAGUUCCCCGCCUGGGGAGUACGGCCGCAAGGCUAAAACUCAAAGGAAUUGACGGGGACCCGCACAAGCGGCGGAGCAUGCGGAUUAAUUCGAUGCAACGCGAAGAACCUUACCAAGGCUUGACAUAUACGAGAACGGGCCAGAAAUGGUCAACUCUUUGGACACUCGUAAACAGGUGGUGCAUGGGUUGUCGUCAGCUCGUGUCGUGAGAUGUUGGGUUAAGUCCCGCAACGAGCGCAACCCUCGUUCUAUGUUGCCAGCACGUAAUGGUGGGAACUCAUGGGAUACUGCCGGGGUCAACUCGGAGGAAGGUGGGGAUGACGUCAAAUCAUCAUGCCCCUUAUGUUCUUGGGGCUUCACGCAUGCUACAAUGACCGGUACAAAGGGCUGCAAUACCGUGAGGUGGAGCGAAUCCCAAAAAGCCCGGUUCCCAGUUCCGGAAUAUGAGAGAGUCUGCAACUCGACCUCAUGAAGUCGGAGUCGCUAGUAAUCGCAGAUCAGCAACGCUGCGGUGAAUACGUUCCCGGGUCUUGUACACACCGCCCGUCAAGUCAUGAAAGUCGGUAACACCUGA
rnacentral:rRNA from 1 species